rfam:Camelus ferus unplaced genomic scaffold scaffold1390, whole genome shotgun sequence.
GAGGGUAUAGCUCAGUGGCAGAGUGCAUGGUUAGCAUACAUGAGGUUCCGGGUUCAAUCCCCAGUACCUCUA